UAGGGAAUAUUAGACAUGGACGCAAGUCUGAUCUAGCAACACCGCGUGUGCGAAGCAGGCCUUCGGGUUGUAAAGCACUUUUUGGAAGGAUUAGGAAGGAAUGUACUUCCAGAAUAAGUCUCGGCUAACUACGUGCCAGCAGCCGCGGUAACACGUAGGAGGCAAACGUUAUCCGGAUUUACUGGUCGUAAAGCGCGUGUAGGUGGUUCUGUAAGUAGGGCGUGAAAGCUCCUGGCUCAACUGGGAGAGGCCGUUCUAAACUGCAGAGCUAGAGGAUGGUAGAGGGAGGUGGAAGUCCGGGUGUAGCGGUGGAAUGCGCAGAUAUCCGGAGGAACACCAGUGGCGAAAGCGGCCUCCUGGACCAUUCCUGACACUCAGACGCGAAAGCUAGGGUAGCAAACG
rnacentral:rRNA from 1 species